UCCGUAGGGUGCGAGCGUUAAUCGGAAUUACUGGGCGUAAAGCGUGCGCAGGCGGUUCGUUGUGUCGGUGGUGAAAUCCCCGGGCUUAACCUGGGAAUGGCCAUGGAAACUGGCGAACUGGAGUGUGGCAGAGGGGGGUGGAAUUCCGCGUGUAGCAGUGAAAUGCGUAGAGAUGCGGAGGAACACCGAUGGCGAAGGCAGCCCCCUGGGCUAACACUGACGCUCAGGCACGAAAGCGUGGGGAGCAAACAGG
rnacentral:rRNA from 1 species